rnacentral:lncRNA from 10 species
AGUCAGCAAAGCUCACUCUCCCAAGUUGAAACAACUUAUGGACAAGAAGUUAUUGAAAUUAAAUGGUGGCAGACAUGUCAAAGGGAUAUUGCAGGGAUUUGAUCACUUUACGAAUCUUGUGAUAGAUGAAUGUGUGGAGAUGGCAACUAGUGAUCAACAGAACAAAAUUGGAAAGGUAGUAAUAUGGAAAUAGUAUCAUCAUGUUAGAAGCCUUGUGACG